rnacentral:misc_RNA from 1 species
UCCGGCUUAUCACCGGCAGUCCCUCUAGAGUGCCCAACUAAAUGAUGGCAACUAAAGGCGAGGGUUGCGCUCGUUGCGGGACUUAACCCAACAUCUCACGUCACGAGCUGACGACAGCCAUGCAGCACCUGUACAAGUUCGCCUUGCGGCACCCUGACUUUCAUCAGGAUUAACUUGCGUUUCAAGCCUAGGUAAGGUUCUUCGCGUUGCGUCGAAUUAAACCACAUGCUCCACUGCUUGUGCGGGCCCCCGUCAAUUCCUUUGAGUUUUAGCCUUGCGGCCGUACUCCCCAGGCGGGGCACUUAACACAUUAGCUACGGCAGAGAAGACAUAGGAAUCCCCCCUGCCCAGUGCCCAUCGUUUACGGCUAGGACUAC